rnacentral:rRNA from 1 species
AUUGAACGCUGGCGGCAUGCUUUACACAUGCAAGUCGAACGGUAACAGGCCGCAAGGUGCUGACGAGUGGCGAACGGGUGAGUAAUGCAUCGGAACGUGCCCAGUCGUGGGGGAUAACUACUCGAAAGAGUAGCUAAUACCGCAUACGAUCUAUGGAUGAAAGCGGGGGACCGUAAGGCCUCGCGCGAUUGGAGCGGCCGAUGUCAGAUUAGGUAGUUGGUGGGGUAAAGGCUCACCAAGCCAACGAUCUGUAGCUGGUCUGAGAGGACAACCAGCCACACUGGGACUGAGACACGGCCCAGACUCCUACGGGAGGCAGCAGUGGGGAAUUUUGGACAAUGGGCGCAAGCCUGACCCAGCAAUGCCGCGUGCAGGAAGAAGGCCUUCGGGUUGUACACUGCUUUUGUACGGAACGAAACGGCUCUGGUUAAUACCCGGGGCUAAUGACGGUACCGUAAGAAUAAGCACCGGCUAACUACGUG